rnacentral:rRNA from 1 species
UACGUAGGGUGCGAGCGUUGUCCGGAAUUAUUGGGCGUAAAGGGCUCGUAGGCGGUUUGUCGCGUCGGGAGUGAAAAUCCAGGGCUUAACUCUGGACUGGCUUCCGAUACGGGCAGACUAGAGGUAUGCAGGGGAGAACGGAAUUCCUGGUGUAGCGGUGAAAUGCGUAGAGAUCUGGAGGAAUACCGGUGGCGAAGGCGACAUCCUGGACCGGUAUUGACGCUGAGGCGCGAAAGCCAGGGGAGCAAACGGG